rnacentral:lncRNA from 1 species
UGUAGCCAACCUACGGGUUUGGAUUUAUAGCGCCCUUCGAGGUAUUUAUCAAUAUACAGAUAUACCUUGGAAAAUAUUGUGUGUUGGUUUAAUAUUUUCAUAUUCUCAGAACCCGACCCAAUAAAUAUCCGGAACACGAAACCCAUUACAGGACUGCAAUUUAUUUAUCCGCAAGAUUCGAAAGAAUUUUAAAUUGUAGUGAGUAUCAUAUUCAACCUCCCCUUCUACGAUACUUUGGACCUAACAAUUGGCAUCAGAGCAGGUUGAUUGAUAUACAAAUCAGGAUCCUUAUCGUACGGGAAAUCAAGACCUAGCUUUUGAUAUUUAAUUAGGGGAAAUGUUCUUCCGGUUUGUGUUGCUGAAUUUGUCUGUAGGCCUAAGUAAGGAUUAUCUGUUGGAUACUGAACUUUGGACUAAGACUUAUAAAUUUAUAUUUGAAAUUUUAAUAAGUUUAUUUUAUAAAUUUGAUUUAAUUUAUUUUAAACUUAAUAAUUGAGUUUAUUAUGAAUUAAUUAAAUUUAUUUUAUGAAUUUAAUUAAAUUUGUUUUAUAAACCUUAUCAAAUUCAUUUAAUAAAUCUGUUCAAAUUUAUUUUAGACUUGUAAAGUUUACAAUUAGACUUUAUUAAGUUUAUCAUAAAUUUUAUAAAUUUAUUAUUUAAAUUUUUAUAGUAUAUGAUUUAAAUUUAAGUCAAAAUAUAAAAUAUAAAUUUAAGAGGAUUUAACUGAUUAUGGAUAUAAGUUCAAGUUCAAGGGUUCAGUUUAGUUUGUUGUGGAAGCUAUGAUUUAAUUGGAGACGAGACACUUGAAUAUUUUCAAAAAUUAAAUUUAUCUGAUAAAUUUUAAUAUAUUUACUAAACGAAUUUGAAAUAAAUUUGCUCUAAACUUAUUCAAUUUAUUAUGAAUUUAUCUGAAUUUAUUUUUUAAAUAUAAUUAAAUUUACUUUAUAGAUUUAACUAAGUUUAUCUUAUACUUUAUUUUCUUUCAUCUUUUAAAACUUUUUUUAAAUUCAUUUUCUUUAUAAUUUAAACUUAGUUUAAAUAAUCAAGUGUCCCGUAACCUUUUUAAUUAUUCUACUCCAAGACAAAUCAGAUUGACAUUUAGUUGAGACAGAUCAGGCUGACAGAUUACAAGACAAACACCGGGCUUUCAAAUACCAGAUUCUCAGAACCGGUAAUGGAAGUACAUUGAUGACCCAAUCCAAUUGAUUACUCAAAGGAUUAUUAGAAGCAGUUUUCUAUGUUCGACAAAGAUGAUUGUGAUUCGAAGAAGAUUUUAUUGAAGACUAAUUUGGUACUACUAACAGUGGAUUUUGAAGAAGGUACUUCAGGCCUUGAUCUGAGUAAUUACUCCGACUUGAUUAUCAGAUCACCAGAUCAGGAUGGGAAUUUGUUACAUUUGCAAUAAAGCAUCUUUCCAGGGCUCGGAAUGUCAACUUUGAAUGGCACCACUAGUAGUAGGAAAAGAGAAGUUUUUGCAGAAGAAUCUUCAGGGGAUUUCAAUCGAACUCACUGAUUCAGGGAUAUACAAUUACACAGUGAAUUGUAUCAAUGCUAAAUCCAUCCAGAAUCAACUGAACCAAAGAUAGAGAACUAUGGAGGUUUAAGGAUAUAAUUAUCGAGUUACUACCGCACCAAAUCAGUAUUAGAAGCAGUUUUCUAUANUAACACUUUUGAAGAAUGUGAGAACAGAACUUCAAGGAUUAGCAUAACACUGUCUGAGAGGUUUAGUCAUGUCAGAUUCAGAUGGAAUCCAUUGGUUUCAAGUGGUGACUCUUCAGGGUUCAGUUCAGAGAAGUUGUUUUCAGAACUCAGUUGGUCAGUACACACAAUAUUGAUUGGUAUCUUUAGCAAACAAAGGUUGCUAUAUAUAUUGAAGCCUCGACAAACAAGGAUGAUAAGGUUUUUCUGGAAUCUAAGUGGAUGCUUUGAGCAUCAUAACAAGUUCUUAUGCUACAUAGGGAAAGGUGUGAGAUGGAUCUGUUGCUAAGGAGAAUGAUGAUUAUGGCUCACCUCGCACUUCUCAGGUACGAAUUCCUUCUAACUAUGCAAUACUUAUUUCUUUAUAUUCAAAGCAUGUUAUAAAUCUCUGAGUAGAAUUGUUUAAUACACAAGCACAAGCAUGAUAGCAUCACCAUAAAUAAUGUUGAACUAGUAUGCUAGAUCACUUCUCUAGUAACUAGGUUUGAUGAUAAUCUUGUGCAUGUGUCUUUAGCGGAUUCUUAACAUGUGUAUGAAUAUUUAGGAUUUAAUUAUUUGCAAUGGUGAGAUUAGAAGUUUUCCUUUGGAAAACGACUCUUUGUUUUAGGGGUUAUGAUCCUAGCAUAUAUAACUUUGUUAAAACACUUACUUUUAGAUUCCCUAGUACAAUUAGAUUUGUUUAUCUAAUCUAAAUUGUUUGUUAAGGAUUUUAUUUUGUUCUGUGAUGGAAUGUCUACCUUGUGUCAGUAGAACUUUUAGAACUUCAUGUUAGAUAUAAAACUGACUUUGGUAAUAGAGAUAAUAUAAUGCCAUAUAACAACAGAUUGAAAUCAGAUCCUUAUGCUCUUAGAAGAUUAUUGAAUAUAUGUAAUUCUACUUGCUACCUGUUGCACUUGUGUUAAUUGGUCUAAGUAGAGAGUACUGAAUCUUCUGAAUUGCAUAACUUCCUGUCUUGCUCUUGUCUUAUCUUUGAUUGUUUGCCAUGUGUAUUCAACAUCAUGUCUGCUUAUUUUCAUGUCAUGAAUGCAUGUCUUUGUACUUGCAUUGAUUUUAGAAAAGCAUGUUUGAGAAUCACAUUAGGGCAAUGUCUAGAUAAGAAUUAGCAUGUUAAGGUUGCUUCUGUUGUUACCACUGUUAAAGAAAAAUCUCUAAUCCAUCCGGACCCAGUUAUGAUUGGGGACCAUAGAACUCUUUCCAUUUGUGAUUGCAGGUUACAUAUGAUCCAUAUGAUUUUUGGUGCACUCUGUUUGCUGAGUAGCUGAAAUCAUAUGAUUCACCAAAAGUACCCUGUUAGCAAAUGUGAUCGUGUGAGCAGUUCCGUCAAUAAUCUUUGAAAGAUGACAACAAAGAUUCUCUUGCGGGACAUGCCUGUUUUCCUGGAAUGUCAUCAUGGAAGCAUAUCUUUCUUGCAAGGAGUCAAAACACACAUUCUUAGUAUCAGACGGUUCUCUGACAAAGGACAUUAUGUUAGUUCAUGGAAUAGUGUUUUAUCUUAAAUCAGGAAGGAUGUGAAUUUUGCUCGUAGCUAAUAUAGAACUUCAACUGAAGAUGGAGUGAGCUGAUAGUAAAGCUUCAUCAGAUAAGUGUUAGCUAUAACAUCUGAAGCGCUCGCACUUGUAUGUCAAAACAAGGAGUUCUUUCUAUUCGUAAGAAGAGAAUUGGUGAGAGGACUACCUCAUCUGGAAUUCAAUAUGGAUGAAACUUAUGAGGUAUUUCAAUAGGGAAGUCGAAGGAGCAUUGCACAGAAGCAAAGAUAUGAUCAACAUUACUGAGCCGCUUCAGAUGAAACGUAUGGAUUUCUACGAAUCAGCUAAUGUCAUGUCUGCAAACAAAACCAGAUAUCUUUUUGCGAUGAUCGUUGACUACUCUAGACUUUUUUGUGUUGUUCAUAUGUGUUUGAAGGACAAGAUGUCACAAAUGAAGGUUGAUCAAGAUGAACCCUGAUCAUUGAUAAUCCAGAAAGACACCAUUCUUUCCAGUGGUCAAUCAGAAGCAAACACUAACUCUUGGUACGUGUUUGGAGGAAAAUGCCUCUUUGCAAGUCCUGCAUUUGAAGAUCAAAGAAUACUUUCCUCGGCUACUCAAUGGAGUCUACGGUCUACAGGGUGAUUAUUAUUGAUCAACAGAAGGUGAUUGUAAGUCUGGAUGGGACAUUGAACGACACUUUGCUCCAAGCUGUUAAAGGUGAUAUUAUUGGUAUAAUGAUGAUUCAAAUCCAAGUAGAAACUCUUUGCAAGGAUAAGGAUUAUUAAAGAAAUCCCAGAAACAGCUUAGGGGGAGCCUUUGGUGGAUCCACUAGUCAAACUCGACACCACAUUGAAGAUGAACAGGACAUAUAAAAAAAGUAUCUGCUUAGACAAAGGGUUUGAAGUCAAUAUUAUUCUCAGGUUCUAGUUCUUAUAUGUUCCCAAUGGUGAAGUGAAGACUGGGAGAGCUAUUGUCAAAAGAUGUUGCUUCUUUGGGUUUCAAUCUGAAGUGAAACUUGAGGAAGAUUCAGAAGCUCUUAAAGGGAUCCAGAUUGAGUGAUUGCACAACAAGAUGAUCUCAAUUAGUUUAAAAGCAGAUUGUGCGAAUUCUGAAACCCUAACCUAAUGACAACUCAUUACUUAAUACUUGUCGGGUAUUUAGAUUCCAACUGGAUGUUUUUGGCUCUGUUACGAGGGACAAGCCAAUUUGGUUGCUUAGAGUACUUCAAAAGAGAAGGUUAUGAAGAUGAUGGAAAUAGAAUCUUCAAGUUCAGGUUUCUACAUCUUAGGGGACUCAACGACCUUCAUGAUUGAACUAAAGCACCAUUGACGAGACUCGGGUUCAGGAUAUUAUAGUGAGCUAGAAGAUGAAGCUUCAUGCAACAUUUCAAGGACUUUGCAGUUGCAGAGAAUUGAUGGCAAUAAAAGGAAGUCAAGGAUCUUUUGAAUAUGCGCAUUUUGGAAGAUUCUAGACCUGCCAAGACUUAAGCCAACAACCACUGAACUUGAUCAGUACAAGAAAGGUACAUCAACUGAAAUGUCAAGUCUUAGAGGUAUUCAACUCAUCACUUUACUUAACUGCAAAAUGAUCGCAUGUUAUAUUUUCUUUAUGUCAAUGUUCAUGGUUCUGAGUGGAUUUUGGAGAACCUAUCCAUUUAGUUGUUAAGAGGUUUAUAGUUAUUUUUGGGGAUUGACUAAUCUAUUGGAAUGGUACCAUAAAGAUACUGUGCUUAACCUGUACAACUAUAUAGAUAUUGUUUUAUAGAUUGUCAGAAAGACAGGGGAUUUAUACUCUCAAGAAGCUGUCAUUCGUGGAAGGAGGUUGAUUUCUUGUUAUAAUAAGAAGACGUCAAGAAAAAUGAAAUAACUCCAUUUCCAGCAACUCUGUGAAGCACUCUCUACUCCCUGGAACCUAAGGAUCUUGUUAUUGGAACUUAAGGACCUACUGCUCGAUCUAGUGCUCGUUGACAUAAGGUAUUACUUCUUUCAUGAGCAUGUCUAUCGUAUUUCUUGAAUGAAUUCAUGAGUAUUAAAUUGUCUAUACAUAGGACUUGUGAAUUUAUUUAAAAUCCAGUACCUCGUGCUUUUUGCUAUUAUAUGUGAUUGCUAUGUUUAUUGCUUUCCAUGCUUAGAUGGUGAUUAUAUGUUUUAGCAUGAGUGUUUGUUAUUUCAAAUUAUUUAAAUUAUGGUGCAUGACAAUUAAGUGACUUAUUUGUUCAUGAUUUAAAUGAUUAGAGAUGACAUGAAGCAUGAUUUAAUUAUGUUAUUUUCCUUGAACUAUACUUCUUUUAACAAUUGGUAUCUAGUAGAGAACUUUGUCAUAAUCUGGUCGUGACAUAUCUGUAUUUGUGAACAUACUUAGGAUUAUUUUCUAGGUUGAAUUCAUUUUUAUAGGUAUAAAAUCUGAAGCAUGACUUAUUUGUUUCUAGACUUGUGACUUGUAUCAGUAAUUGGUAUGUGGUUAGAAUCUAGUUAGAAUUUAGUCAUGAUAUACUAGUAUUUGUGGAGUUACUUAGAUUCUCUCUAGGCUGAAUCCAUUUAUAUUAGUGUAUAUACUUGAAGCAUAACUAUUUGUGUUGGAUAUUUGAUGAUUUAUUAAUUGAUAUUUUAUUUCAUGUCUAACUGCAUAUAGUUGUGAUACUUUUAGUGUUAGUGAUAUUUUGCAUGCUUAUAUGUAGAUCACUAAUAUUAAUUGUUAAUAUUUUCUGCGAGGAGUUGUGUGAGUUUACUUGUACUCAAUGCUUACAUGUAUAGGACUUGUGAACUUUUCUUCAACAUUCCCUCGGGCUUGCGAAUAUCUUUGUAUGAUUGUCAUGAUUUUAGUUGUUAUAUGCUGAUAUGAUAAUUAUAUGAUAUUGCAUAGGUAAUUAUUAUUUUAUCUUAGUUGAAUUGUGAUCCACAAUUAUAUGCUUAUUUGUUUCAUGAUUAACUUUGAUAGAAUAAUGGAAGCAUGAUUAAUUCAUUUUUUAAAUAUUUAAUUGAUAUCUAUUUUGAUGCUUUAUUGAUGUUUUAUUUUUGAAUUGAUUGUGAUGUAUUGGCACUGGUGAAAUAUUGUUGCAUAUUUCUUAAAACCACUGGUGCUAAUAUAUUUUAGGUGUUUAAUAUUCUGAGUACAAGGGAGACAACAAAAUCUUUAUUUUUUGUCUCAUAUUUAUGUUCAAAAGUGGUGAGUUUCUUCAAAGAAAUUUUCUUAUUAAUUGAUUUUAACAAUUGGUAUCCACUACUCUAUUUCAUAAGUAUUUCUUAGAAUAUUUUGCAUCUAUACAUGUAGCGUCAUAGGACAAGAGAUUGAUUAUCUUGUAUUUGUGUACUUGGUGAUCUUUGUCACUUGCAGCGUCUGUUUUGACGAUGUGCUAGUAUGAUGCCUUUUCACUAAUUAUUGUGGCGAGCGCUUUAUACAUUGUAGCACAUAGAUUUUCUUUUUCCCUUCUAAAAUUGUAGUGAGAAACAGGAGUCUAUGUCUUUUUCAAAGACAAGUUCAUUUAAAUUUUUUAUGCAUAGAUUCAGACUCUCGUACUCAAACUAGUUUUUAAUGGAAAAUUUUGAUUCUUUCAUCGGUUGUGAUUGUCAUUCUUUAUGAAAAUCAUUUUUACAAUCACAACUGAUUCAUUUUUCCUCAAAAGAUUAAAUGCAAUUACUUUCUUUCAAAAUCAUAGAUUUUCUAAAAUGCAUUUAUAUAUCUUUCUGUUCUUCGGAACUUAAUCAGCCUCUUGGCUUUCCUAGAUAGUUAUAAGAUUGAAAACCAACAAUAUUUAUCCUAGACUAUAGAACCAAAUUCAGAACACAUCCCAACUUUCCCCCUGGAGUAAUAAGGAACUUAUUAGACUAGAGGUCAAUGAGGGAGAAACUGUACUUGUUGCAGCAAAUAAGGAUGUGAGGGAUAGUGUACCCACAGCUCUACCUCUCAAGGAGAAAAGGUGUUUUCAAACUUGAGGUAACUGUUGCUCAUCUGUAUUCUCUCAAAAGAAUAUAGAGCUGAAAAGGCAAUAAAACAGUCUCUGGAAUCAUUCUCUCAACAGGAUGAGUCCAUUAAAAUUCGCUCGUUAGCCAGAGUAUCUUGUAUUGAGUCAAGCACAUCAUCAGUAACCACUUUGAUAAAGAGCCUAAACAGAAAAUCUUAUGCACACAAUACAAGAGAGUGCACAGUAAGGUUAAAGGUUUUGUUCCAGAAGCAACUUCUUCAUUUACCAUUUUACGGUAAAUAAGAUGGUUGAUGCCUUUACAGGUGUAAGGAGGAAACGAGGGUCUCAAUUGCCAAAUCUUCAGGAUUCUUGUCUCCCUCCCCAAAUAAUAACAGAUCUGGAUCCAAUCGGAAUGGAUUUCUUAUUUAUAGGAGAUCGGCAACUCUCUGACUAUGAGUCAAUUUAUCGAUGAGUCGGUUGAGGAUCGGGGAUUUACGGAACUCCAUUGCACCGCCAAUGACCUCUCUUGAAGGGGCUAUGGUGAUUUUCUUAUGCAGGUACAAAAGACCAUACUUUGAGUGCUGAGAGAAACACUGUGAGCCAAACACUGAGAGUUAAACACUUAGUGAGAUUCUGAGAAAAACCAGUGAGAUGAUAAAAUGAGAAAUAUGUGAGCUUGAGUGAGUGCAAACACAUAGGAUUUUGAGAAGAGUGAAACACUUGUGAGGUACAUAUAAUAAUAAUUGUUGAAUGCUCACAAGUUGUUGAAAGAAUUGACCGAAGCAACUACGGUUUAUUCUAUUUCACGGUGUGAACUUAUGGUUGAUGAUUCUCUUGAAUCAAGUGUCUUCACAGACAUUGAGGAGGACUUAGGCCUUUUCCAUAAUUAAGCCUUUGUCUAACCUUCCAGAGCAAACAACUCUGGAUCCUUAAUUGGAUAAGCCACUUAGUGGUUGGCAACUUGUGGACCAUGAUUCAGAUUUAUCUAAUGCGCCUGCAGGGACUGGGAAUUACGAACUCCCAUUGCACCACCGGUGACCCCCUAUAAGGGCGGCUAAGGUGAUUUUUCUUUGCAGGUACUCAGCAUUUUUGUAAGCUCAGUAUUUGUGUGGAGGGAUACACUUACAGAACUUGUGAGUGACACCAUUACCCAAAAACCGAGAGAAAAUUGAGUGUUGAGUGAUACACCUGCAGAACAUUUAGUGAGAUAACCACUGAUUACCAAAUUUAUACCUAAAGGCAAAGUUGAUACUUUCACUGAAAUGUUCGACUGACUGCCGUUGGAGCCAUGUUGAAGAUGUUAUCGAAACCUUACUAGGGAUCUAACAAUUGGUAUUGCGACCUAACAAUAUCGGGAAGCUUUAUCAUUUGGUAACACCAAAGGGACACGUUUGUCAAAUUUUACUCAUUACUUUUCCAUAACCCAACCAAAGUAAACCCUUCUUCUGAACCCUUUAUUCGAACCCAGCUUUAGCUUGUUUAGUUCUCUACGGGGAUAUUAUCUAUUUUGGUACAGGAAGUAUUGUACACGUUCCUUGACCAUAUUUGAUACCACCAUAUUUGAUACCACAUAUCUUCGGAGGAUUGCACAACUAAGGGGGAGAAUAUAUUUAGGGGGAGAAUAUAAGAAAGGGGGAAGAAANNNNNNNNNNNNNNNNNNNNNNNNNNNNNNNNNNNNNNNNNNNNNNNNNNNNNNNNNNNNNNNNNNNNNNNNNNNNNNNNNNNNNNNNNNNNNNNNNNNNNNNNNNNNNNNNNNNNNNNNNNNNNNNNNNNNNNNNNNNNNNNNNNNNNNNNNNNNNNNNNNNNNNNNNNNNNNNNNNNNNNNNNNNNNNNNNNNNNNNNNNNNNNNNNNNNNNNNNNNNNNNNNNNNNNNNNNNNNNNNNNNNNNNNNNNNNNNNNNNNNNNNNNNNNNNNNNNNNNNNNNNNNNNNNNNNNNNNNNNNNNNNNNAAGCCUGUAAGUCUAAAUGUAAAGACAACCCUAUCUGUUACAUAGGGAUGAUAACUCAACAAUAGAACAGGACAAGUAAAUAACACUACGCCUGCACCGGAAUCGGAAGAUACGAAGACAAAGGUUGAAGAAGCCAUCUACAGUCUUGAAGGAGUGAGUUCACUGGAAGAAGUUCAUUAAUAUGUUCAUGCCUUAGUGAAGAAUAAAGAUUGAAGUAUUCAAGAUUAUGGAAGCAAUGAAGAUGUUGUCCACGUACUCGAAAGAUUUCAAUGCAACCCCUGAAGCAAGAUAUUUCUGGAUAUCUUGGUUGGUUAUUUAUAAUCAACAAACUGAAGCAUAAACUAACCCAGAACCGACUGAUCAAUGUUUGCUGACAAAGACGGUACAAUGUUUGACUUCAGUGUUAGUCGCUUGUGAACUAGACCAGUGCACUAAGCGUCAGCACGUACGGAGUUUGCAAAGUAUUUAUCAAUCGAAGAAUUGAUCCAGUCAUAACAAGUCAUUUGUUCCAAAGCCAAGCCAAGCCAAAAACCUUGUCUCCAUCAGCUAUGCCAAAGCUUACUGCUCAACUGCCAUAUGUCAUGCUUACAGAGUGAUCCAUAUGCAUGGGGAAGUGAACUAUCUUUUAUAUGUGUGCACUUAUAUAUUUGUAUAUGUACAUAUAUAAUUAUAUAUGUAUAUAUGUAUAUUUAAUUAAAUAUAAUAUAUAUAAUAUAUAUGUAUAUAUGUUUUUAAACAUAUGUAUCUGUAUAUUUAUAUCUAUAUAUAUUUAAAUAAAUAUAUAUGUGUAUAGUAUAUGUAUUCAUAUUUUAUAUAAAAAUUUAUAUAUUUAAGUGCGUAUAUAUAUUAUAUUAUGUGCAUAAAUAUAUCUAUAUUUAGAGAGAGUUAUAUAUAUCUUUAUAUAUAUAUUUAUAUUUAUAUUUACACAUAGUUAUAUGUAUAUUAUAUAUAUUUAAAUAUAUGAGAAUAUAUUUAAAUAUAUGUGUAUAUAUACUGGCUGGCCAUCAAGAAUCGCUUGUUAACUAAGGAUAAAAUGAGGUUGUUUGAGAUGCAGGUUGAUCCUCGAUGUGUUCUGUGUAAUGGGGGCUUGGAAUCUUCUCACCAUUUAUUCUCUAACUGUCCUUUCUUUGCGGCCUUGCGUGCUGAGAGUCCAGUUCAGUUCAAUGCUGAUUGGGAUUUAUGCAGAACUGGUGCUUUUUUUAUUGGUAACACUAGCAGAAUUAAGAAAAGGAUUGGUGGAUUGUUUAUUGCAGUUGCUAUCUACCACACCUGGAAGGAGAGAAAUUUCAGAAUUCAUAAUGUUGGUAAACAUAAUUCCCCAUCAAGAGUCCUGCUGCGUGUUAAGGAAAUGGUCCGGGAAAGACUAUUUUCCUGUAACAGCUUCAAGAGAAUGGCUGCCAAUCAUCCUGGCAUCAUCCCAUUGCUUUAUUAGAUGUUAUUUCUAGAUAGUCUGUUGUAGUGCUGUAGUGUUGUUGUCUAGUUGGUGAGUUAAUCUUCUAUCUGUUGUCUCCUUGAGUUUCUUAUGCUUGCUCCUAGUUAGGGAAUUUCCUGUGUUAUCGUAUUUCUUUCUCCAGGGGCUUGCCCUCUGGAUCUUGUAUUAGUGUUUCCGUUUUUUCAAUAAAUUUUAUUUAGCAAAAAAAAUAUAUAUUAUAUAUAUGUAUAUAUAUUUAUAUAUACUUUUCUUUAUAUAUUUAUGUUUUUAUUUAUAUUUAUAAAUAACUAUAUAUAUAUAUAUUUAUAUAUAUUUGUAUUUACAUAUAAUUAUAUAUUUACUGAUAGAAUCAACGGCUCAUAUUAAGUCUCUCUAGUCUCUUGAUAAGGGGCGUCUCCCCCUAUAUAUAUUUAUAUAUAUUUGUAUGUACAUAUAAUUAUAUAUUAUAUAUAUAUAUUUGAAUAUAUGAGAAUAUAUUUAAAUAUAUGUACAUAUAUAUUAUUAUAUGUUCAUAUAAAUAAUAUAUAUAUGUGUGUAUAUAUUUAUAUAUACUUUUAUUUAUUAAAUAAACACAACAUAAUAUAUUAUAUUAUAUUAUAUAUUAUAUACAUGCAUAUUGGGAUGAUGUCAUGUGUCUACUACAGUACAACCUAGGGUUUGCAUGUGCAUGUGAUGUCAUGUGUCCUAGGGUUUCACUGUGAAUACAAGGAAUGCACCAGCUAGCACGGAGAGAUAACAUGAAGAUCUUGUUGUGGCGCAAGUUACAUGUUAUAUGAAAUAGACUAAGGCAUGAAAUCAUCAGUAGUACACAGGGCUCCUUUGAGCGCAAGUUGAAGAGAGAGAAGGCUGAAGCACAGGAAAUAGUUUUAAGCGCCACUUGCAGCUGUUGGAUUUUUCCUAAGGCAGAUACUACGUAUAGUGGUAUAGUGUGAAGGAUGUAAGCGCAAGUUGACACUCUAAAGCACAUGGAUAUAAAUGCAGCGCAACUUGUUAACCCAGGAGUGAUAACAGAUAUCACAUGAACACAUUAGCGCAAACUCACCCCCUUUGGCGCAAAUUCAUGUUCAAGCGCAUGUUCAAGACUAAGGAGAGAGAACAGUGUGACCUGUUGCACCCCAAGCGCAACUACACUUUACUUAGAAUAAUUUUCUAAGUACAAGUGACCCUAAGUGAUCACUCUUGGCGCAAGUUCACAUCAGGUGGCGCCAAUUCAAUUAUUUCUUGAUUUUAACUAAGUCAAAAUGACUCAUAGUGAACACACGAGGCGCAAGUGCAAGGAGGAGAAAAUUCCGGGACCAACUCAAGUUUUAACCACAGUUAAUUUAAAUUCGUCCAGGACGAACUCAAUUCGUCUAGGACGAACUCGUUAACCAUGUUUAGUUUAUGAAAAGCCUAUAAAUACCCCAUGUGUGUUCUCACAAUUGUAACACACACACUCUUGACACAUAUUGUACAAACUCUAUCCACACAACCCCUUAGCUUAGCACACCAAAAGAAAUAUAUUUUUAGAAGCUAGGGGUUGUAGUGUUUGUAUCAAUAGUCAUUGUAGCCAACCUAUGGAAUCUGAUUUAUAGCACCCUUCGAGGUAUUUAUCAAUAUACACAUAUACCUUGGAAAAUAUUGUGUGUUGGUUUAAUAUUUUCAUAUCCUCAGAAACCGACCCAAUAAAUAUCCGGAACACAAAACCCAUUACAAGACUGCAAUUUAUUUAUCCGCAAGAUUCGAAAGAAUUUUAAAUUGUAGUGAGUAUCGUAUUCAACCCCCCCUUCUACGAUACUUUGGACCUAACA